UUAAUACUCCCUCCGUCCGGAAAUACUUGUCAUAAGAAAUUAAGAAUGGAUGUAUCUAGAUGUAUUUUAGUUCUAGAUACAUCCUUUUUUAUCCAUUUGUGCGACAAGUAAUUCCGGACAGAGGGAGUAGUUA
rfam:Hordeum vulgare subsp. vulgare, WGS project CAJW01000000 data, contig: morex_contig_104024